CCUGGUGAGCACCUGUGCCACACGGCAUCCUGGUGAGUGCCUAUGCCACGCAGCGUCCUAGUGAGCGCCUGUGCCACGCGGCGUCCUGGUGAGCGCCUGUGCCACGUGGCGUCCUGGUGAGCGCCUGUGCCACACGGCGUCCUGGUGAGCACCUGUGCCACACGGCGUCCUGGUGAGCACCUGUGCCACACGGCGUCCUGGUGAGCACCUGUGCCACGUGGCGUCCUGGUGAGCACCUGUGCCACGCGGCGUCCUGGUGAGCGCCUGUGCCACGCGGCGUCCUGGUGAGCACCUGUGCCACGCGGCGUCCUGGUGAGCGCCUGUGCCACGCGGCGUCCUGGGACAGCUUUCAGCGCUGGGUCCCGCCGGCCCCAACAGCCGCCCCGGCCCCCAAACAGCCGGCCCAGACCCGGGCAGGAACGAGGCGAUCGGGUGGCUGUGGUCAGGGUGUCGGAGCCCCCGACACCCUUCUCCUGUUUUUCCUGCGUUCUGAAUCCCGGGAGAGUCAGCGGCAGAAGUCGGACAGACGGAAAUAAACCUGCUUGCUCUGCUCCUGCUUGGAGCGGGUUCGGGGCCAGGAUCUCGGGUCAGUAUCGGCAGGAGCUUGCUGAUUACUCACUGUUGGAGGCUGCCGCAGGCAGGCGAUCGGGCGUCCAGUGGACAGAAUCCCCAGAGGGCAGAGGGAGAGGGGAGAGAGCUCCAAGGGGCUUGCCUGCUUCCUCUCCGGAUCCCACACAUCGAGGAAGCCACUCUCCUUCCCAGGGGCGAGUGACACAAGCCAGACUUGGGGAAGUUUCCAGAACUUUCCUGAGGCGGCCGUCCUAGGAUCCUUCUGCCGCUGUCACCAAGGUCACAGCCACAUCAGGCCACCCAGGCCCCCGCUCUGGUCCUGUGAGGGGCGGAAGCCCAGGCUGGCCCAGCGCCUUCUCCG
rnacentral:lncRNA from 1 species